rnacentral:rRNA from 1 species
UGAGUGCGAGCUGCUACGGCAGCGAAGUUGGUGAUGUCAUGCUUCCAAGAAAAGCCCUAUACCCGUUAAGGCAUCAUGGCCUGUACCCGAAACCGACACAGGUGGGGUGGUAGAGAAUACCGAGGGGCGCGAGGUAACUCUCUCUAAGGAACUCGGCAAAAUGGCCCCGUAACUUCGGGAGAAGGGGUGCCACCGCAAGGUGGUCGCAGUGAAGAGGCCCAGGCGACUGUUUACCAAAAACACAGGUCUCCGCUAAGUCGCAAGACGAUGUAUGGGGGCUGACGCCUGCCCAGUGCCGGAAGGUUAAGGAAGCUGGUCAGCGCAAGCGAAGCUAGCGACUGAAGCCCCGGUGAACGGCGGCCGUAACAAUAACGGUCCUAAGGUAGCGAAAUUCCUUGUCGGGUAAGUUCCGACCCGCACGAAAGGCGUAACGAUCUGGGCGCUGUCUCGGAGAGAGGCUCGGCGAAAUAGAAUUGUCUGUGAAGAUGCGGACUACGUGCACCCGGACAGAAAGACCCUAUGAAGCUUUACUGUAGCUUGGUAUUGUGCCCGGGCUCGCAAUGCGCAGGAUAGGUGGGAGGCUUUGAUCAUCGGCUUGCGGGUCGAUGUGAGCCAACGGUGAGAUACCACUCUUUGCGAGCUAGGGUUCUAACGGCCACCCGUCAUCCGGGGGCCGGACAGUACCUGGUGGGCAGUUUGACUGGGGCGGUCGCCUCCUAAAAGGUAACGGAGGCGCGCAAAGGUUUGCUCAGGCUGGUUGGAAAUCAGCCGACGAGUGUAAAAGCAGAAGCAAGCUUGACUGUGAGACCAACAAGUCGAACAGGGAGGAAACUCGGCUUUAGUGAUCCGACGGUUCUGAGUGGAAGGGCCGUCGCUCAACGGAUAAAAGUUACUCUAAGGAUAACAGGCUGAUCUCCCCCAAGAGUUCACAUCGACGGGGAGGUUUGGCACCUCGAUGUCGGCUCAUCGCAACCUGGGGCUGAAGUCGGUCCCAAGGGUUGGGCUGUUCGCCCAUUAAAGCGGUACGCGAGCUGGGUUCAGAACGUCGUGAGACAGUUCGGUCCAUAUCCGGUGCACGCGCAGGAAUAUUGAGAGGAUUUCUCCCUAGUACGAGAGGACCGGGAGGAACGCACCUCUGGUGUACCAGUUAUCGUGCCAACGGUAAACGCUGGGUAGCCAUGUGCGGAGUGGAUAACCGCUGAAAGCAUCUAAGUGGGAAGCCCACCUCAAGAUGGGUAUUCCCAUGGCGUAAGCCAGUAAGGUCACGGGAAGAACACCCGUUGAUAGGCUCUAUGUGGAAGCGCAGUAAUGCGUGAAGCAGAGGAGUACUAAUAGACCGAGGGCUUGACC